CAGUCGCCGCGGUAAUACGUAGGGUGCAAGCGUUAAUCGGAAUUACUGGGCGUAAAGCGUGCGCAGGCGGUUUUGUAAGACAGAGGUGAAGUCCCCGGGCUCAACCUGGGAACUGCCUUUGUGACUGCAAGGCUGGAGUGCGGCAGAGGGGGAUGGAAUUCCGCGUGUAGCAGUGAAGUGCGUAGAUAUGCGGAGGAACACCGAUGGCGAAGGCAAUCCCCUGGGCCUGCACUGACGCUCAUGCACGAAAGCGUGGGGAGCAAACAGGAUUAGAUACCCCCGUAGUCCCUGUCUCUUAUAC
rnacentral:rRNA from 1 species